rnacentral:rRNA from 1 species
CCUACGGGAGGCAGCAGUGGGGAAUAUUGGGCAAUGGGGGGAAGCCUGAUGCAGCGACGCCGCGUGAAGGAAGAAGUAAUUCGUGAUGUAAACUUCUAUCGACAGGGAAGAAUAAAUGACGGUACCUGACUAAGAAGCCACGGCUAACUACGUGCCAGCAGCCGCGGUAAUACGUAGGUGGCAAGCGUUGUCCGGAUUUACUGGGUGUAAGGGGCGUGUAGCCGGAUAUGCAAGUCAGAUGUGAACGCCCGCGGCUCAACUGCGGGAGUGCAUUUGAAACUGUAUGGCUUGAGUGCUGGAGAGGCAGGCGGAAUUCCUAGUGUAGCGGUGAAAUGCGUAGAUAUUAGGAGGAACACCAGUGGCGAAGGCGGCCUGCUGGACUGCAACUGACGGUGAGGCGCGAAAGCGUGGGGAGCAAACAGGAUUAGAUACCCGAGUAGUC